rnacentral:rRNA from 1 species
GCCUAACACUUAGCCCAACCCAAACACAUGCCCACCAACCACCAACCACCACAAACUAAAACAUUCUAACAAUUUAGUAGAGGCGAUUGAAAAACUCCUUGGAGCUAUAAAUCUAGUACCGCAAGGGAACAAUGAAAUAGAAAUGAAAUAACACUAAAGCACAAAACAGUAGAGACCCACCCCCGUACCUUUUGCAUCAUGGUCUAGCCAGUCUAAUCAAGCAAAAAGAAUUACAGUUUGACCCCCCGAAACUAAGCGAGCUACCCCGAGGCAACUUCAAGCGCCAACCCGUCUCUGUGGCAAAAGAGUGGGAAGACCUCCGGGUAGGGGUGAUAGACCUAACGAGCUUAGUGAUAGCUGGUUGCUCAGGAAAAGGAUAUUAGUCCUACCUUAAAUACUUCUAACACACAUUAGUGAACACAAAUUUAAGAGCUAUUCAAGCAGGGUACAGCCUGCUUGAAAAAGGAUACAACCUAGAACACAGGGUAAUAAUUUUAGUAGCCUGACCAAGUAGGCUUAAGAGCAGCCACCUUACAGAUAGCGUCAAAGCUUAAUCACCCCCCUACCAAUAAUUCCAAGACCCCCAUAGAACCCUUCAACCGUACUGAGUGAUUCUAUACCAAUAUAGAACCCCUUAUGCUAGAACUAGUAAUAAGAAGCAGACCUUCUCUUCAAUAUAAGUGUAUACCAAAACGGACCAACCAUUGGUAAUUAACGCCCAUGAGCUAACAGUAAUAACCCUACAAGAAAAUUCUACUGCCCCCUACGUUAACCUAACACAAGAAUAUUUAAAGAAAGAUUAAAAGGAGUGGAAGGAACUCGGCAAAUAUUAACCCCGCCUGUUUACCAAAAACAUCGCCUCUUGACACUAACAUAAGAGGUCCAGCCUGCCCAGUGACUCUGUUCAACGGCCGCGGUAUCCUGACCGUGCAAAGGUAGCGUAAUCACUUGUUCUUUAAAUAAGGACUAGUAUGAAUGGCACCACGAGGGUUUCACUGUCUCCCCCCCCCAAUCAAUGAAACUAAUCUCCCCGUGAAGAAGCGGGGAUAACAAUAUAAGACGAGAAGACCCCAUGGAGCUUUAAACAAUAUAGCACAUGUUAACAAAAACCCCCCCCCAUAGUUCAACAUUACUGACUAUUAGUUUUCGGUUGGGGUGACCGCGGAAAAAAACACAACUUCCAUGAUGAACGGAGCUUACUCCUUAACUAGAAGCCACCGCUUUAAGUAUCAGCAACCUGACAUCCAUUGACCCAAUAUAAUUGACCAACGAACCAAGUUACCCUGGGGAUAACAGCGCAAUCCACUUCAAGAGCCCCUAUCGACAAGUGGGUUUACGACCUCGAUGUUGGAUCAGGGUGCCCAAGUGGUGCAGCCGCUACUAAUGGUUCGUUUGUUCAACGAUUAAAACCCUACGUGAUCUGAGUUCAGACCGGAGUAAUCCAGGUCAGUUUCUAUCUAUAAAGAGCCCCCUCCAGUACGAAAGGACCGAAGGGUCGUGGCCAAUACUAAAAGCAAGCCACAACUUUAAUUUAUGACUCCAACUUAAUUUAAACAAGUCUCUCACCCACCCCUAGACAAGGGGACA